UCCCUCAAACCUACUGAGUUUGUGGUCUCCCGAGUCCCGUAUAGCACAAUGAAACAAGAAGGGCAUACACGUCCUCUCCAACCCUGUCCCCUUCGACUAGGGAGUAAGGUUUGUCUUUUUGGUUCAGUUCAUUCAAUUCGUAUUGAUUUCCCUACGACGCACACAGAUCUGAAAAAGUUAAUAAUUGUUUGCUUCCCCCGGAAUAUAACAGUUAGUGGUUGAAACACAAAGAGUGGCCUCGACAUUGGUUCACGGAGGAGCUACAAAGGAAGUUAAUUACCCGACAACGAGAGCCAGUUUGGAUGUCGCAAAUUGAGAGCCUUCUUGAAUGACCACUCGAAGCUGGCGUUUGAGAUCUAGCUGUAGUGCCUGCUUGUUUGAGAUAUGGGCGCAACUAUUUGUCUCUGUCUGCGUUUGGGGAUGUGGCUUUUCUCUCUGUCUUUUGGUUGCAGAUUGUUUGUUUCUGCUCUCGGCUGUGGGCACGAUUUUCUUGCUUUUGUUUGGAGUUUGGUUUGGGCGCGUAGUUGACCGGAAUUGGGUAGGGGUUGUGUCUCAUCGCUCGUACGUUUCCAAUUUCUGGGUGGGAGAUUUUUUUCUUUUUGUUUUAAUGGAAAGCUUUUUUACUUGUUCAUAAGAUAUAUAACUACAUUAAAAAAACAGUGUUAUGUUAUAUUAUUGUUCUGAAAAUGACAUAACAGAUUUGUA
rnacentral:lncRNA from 1 species